rnacentral:lncRNA from 1 species
GGCAACCCACUCCAGUAUUCUUGCCUGGGGAAUCCCAUGGAUAGAGGAGCUUGGCGGGCAACAGUCCAUGGCGUCGUAAGAGUUGGACACCACUUAGCACUAUCUUUCUUAAGUGUUUCUUAGAAUUAUCUCUAGAUGUGAAAACAUCUAAUUUGCUUAGUUUUAAAAAAUAAGCUAGGUUAGUUGCAUGGAGUGUUUACUUCUUGAAAACGCCUUUAAAUUGAGCCCAAGCCCGUGGAGGUCCAGGUGAUAACGCACCACAUGCAGCGCUACGCCGUGUGGUUUGGAGGCUCCAUGCUGGCUUCGACUCCGGAGUUCUUGCAGGUCUGUCACACCAAGAAGGACUACGAGGAGUGCGGCCCGAGCAUCUGCCGUCACAACCCCGUCUUCGGGGUCAUGUCUUAGUGGCGGCUUGGGCACCGCUCCCGCAGUGGUGUCAUCGGAGCGCAAGUGUCCUUCAGACCCGGAGACGACAGGCCCUGUACAUAGAGUGCGAGCGUGGUGUCCCAUUGCAUGCGGCGCCGCCCGCCGGACAGCUCGCAAAGCCAUCUGCGCCCUCA